rnacentral:rRNA from 1 species
UGGCUAUCUGGUCGAUCCCCAAACCGUCGAGACCAUCAAAUCGGUGCUGCAGUCCUCGGGAUCGAUCCGGGCGAUUGCCUCGGUCGUCAAUGUCGAGGCGACGACCUAUGACGUGCUGAUCGAUCAUACCGAUGUGGGCGCGGGAUGGGCCACCGAAGCCGGGCCGGCCGCCGAAACGGACACGCCGCAGAUCGACCGGAUUUCGAUCCCGCUGCACGAGCUGAGCGCCCUGCCGAAGGCCAGCCAGCGGCUGCUGGAUGACAGUGCGUUCGAUAUCGAGGGUUGGCUGGCAGGCCGGAUCGCCGACAAGUUCGCCCGCGCCGAGGCGGCGGCCUUUGUCAACGGUGACGGUGUCGACAAGCCGACCGGUCUGCUGACCCACACGGCGGUCGAUAACGACGUCUGGACCUGGGGCAAUAUCGGCUACGUGCCGACCGGCGUACUUGGCAGCCUGGGUGGCGGCGAUGCGAUCAUCGACCUGGUGUAUUCGCUGGGUGCCCGGUAUCGCGCCAAUGCGAGUUUCCUGAUGAACUCGAAAACCGCCGGGCUGGUGCGCAAGCUGAAGGACGCCGAUGGCCGGUUCCUGUGGUCGGACGGGCUGGCGGCCGGCGAGCCGGCGCGCCUGAUGGGCUAUCCGGUGGUGAUCGUCGAGGACAUGCCGGAUGCCGGGGACGAUGCCUUUGCCAUUGCCUUUGGCGAUUUCGCUGCCGGCUACACGAUCGCCGAGCGUCCCGACCUGCGGGUGCUGCGCGAUCCGUUCAGCGCCAAGCCCCACGUGCUGUUCUA